AUGAUUUUUGUCAUGUUUUUGUUAAUUGUUUGUGCUAUAAUUAUUUUAGUGGGAGUAUGAUUUAUCACGUUGAGGAUUGGGCUCUGGUCAUGUGCAAUUUAUAAUCAGUCAUGCAGAAUCGUUGCACAGGGUUCUUGAUAAUUUAUCUAGCUUCAGUUUUUAGCUCAGCAGUCAUCCAGCUGCAGGUAUAACAGCAAGCAAGAAGUGAGGCAGGUGCAGCAUUUGGAAAUGACGAUGUUUAUUUGGAAAGAUACAUAAAAAACUCUAGACAUAUUGAAUUCCAGACUUUGGACUUGAAACACCUGCCCCAACAUGACUGCUUCCCCUGUAUUGACUAUGACAAGAUUGUAUUUGCCUGAUAAAGGACUGGCUCUUAAUCUUCUCGCAACUGACUGUUAUGGGACCUUGGAAUCAAAGCAUGGACUGCUAUAUACUGAUUCAAAUAAGUAACCCUAUUAAAGAGCUUUGUAACAUAAUCCCUUUGGAUGUUCUAUAAUAAUAUAUUCAUACUGAUAUUUCAUUGAUAUAUUAUAGACACGAAUUUAAAUGGACUUUUGAUGAUUAUGGACCUUGAUCUUGGACUAAAGAUGCUUUGUUCUAGAUCCUUUGGCUGCUCAUUAAUAACUCAUACGUUUGAAUCUGGUCCUUUUGACAGUGAGUUGGAAUCAUUGUAUUUUGCUCUGCUCACUGCCCAUUAAUGACUGCUAUUGUGUA